rnacentral:rRNA from 1 species
AGCUCCAAUAGCGUAUAUUAAAGUUGUUGCGGUUAAAAAGCUCGUAGUUUGCUUUCUGCUGAAGACAACCGGUCUGCCCUCUGGGUGAGCAUCUGGUUUGGAGUUGGCAUCAUCUUGGAGAACGUAGCUGCACUUGACUGUGUGGUGCGGUAUCUUAGACUUUUACUUUGAGGAAAUCAAAGUGCUUCAAGCAGGCGAAUGUCUUGGAUACACUAGCAUGGAAUAAUAUUUUAGGGUCUUGAU